rnacentral:rRNA from 1 species
ACACACGGAUAACAUACCGAAAGGUAUGCUAAUACGGGAUAAUAUAUUUGAGAGGCAUCUCUUAAAUAUCAAAGGUGAGCCAGUACAGGAUGGACCCGCGUCUGAUUAGCUAGUUGGUAAGGUAACGGCUUACCAAGGCGACGAUCAGUAGCCGACCUGAGAGGGUGAUCGGCCACAUUGGAACUGAGACACGGUCCAAACUCCUACGGGAGGCAGCAGUGGGGAAUAUUGCACAAUGGGCGAAUGCCUGAUGCAGCAACGCCGCGUGAGUGAUGAAGGCCUUCGGGUCGUAAAACUCUGUCCUCAAGGAAGAUAAUGACGGUACUUGAGGAGGAAGCCCCGGCUAACUACGUGCCAGCAGCCGCGGUAAUACGUAGGGGGCUAGCGUUAUCCGGAUUUACUGGGCGUAAAGGGUGCGUAGGCGGUCUUUCAAGUCAGGAGUGAAAGGCUACGGCUCAACCGUAGUAAGCUCUUGAAACUGGGAGACUUGAGUGCAGGAGAGGAGAGUGGAAUUCCUAGUGUAGCGGUGAAAUGCGUAGAUAUUAGGAGGAACACCAGUUGCGAAGGCGGCUCUCUGGACUGUAACUGACGCUGAGGCACGAAAGCGUGGGGAGCAAACAGGAUUAGAUACCCUGGUAGUCCACGCUGUAAACGAUGAGUACUAGGUGUCGGGGGUUACCCCCUUCGGUGCCGCAGCUA